rnacentral:pre_miRNA from 1 species
AAGUUGUAAAUGAGGAUUGGAGGAAAUUAAAUAAAUGGUUGUUCUGGCUACAGUUUGUUUAAUUUCCUCCAAUAUCUCAUCUACAGCUU